UGACAGUACUCCUACGGGGAGGCAGCAGUGGGGGAAUAUUGCACAAUGGGCGCAAGCCUGAUGCAGCCAUGCCGCGUGUGUGAAGAAGGCCUUCGGGUUGUAAAGCACUUUCAGUCGUGAGGAAGGUAGUGUAGUUAAUAGCUGCAGUAUUUGACGUUAGCGACAGAAGAAGCACCGGCUAACUCCGUGCCAGCAGCCGCGGUAAUACGGAGGGGUGCGAGCGUUAAUCGGAAUUACUGGGCGUAAAGCGCAUGCAGGUGGUUUGUUAAGUUCAGAUGUGAAAGCCCGGGGCGUCAACCUCGGAAUAGCAUUUGAAACUGGCAGACUAGAGUACUGUAGAGGGGGGUAGGAAUUUCAGGUGUAGCGGUGAAAUGCGUAGAGAUCUGAAGGAAUACCGGUGGCGAAGGCGGCCCCCUCGGACAGAUACUGACACUCAGAUGCGAAAGCGUGGGGAGCAAACAGGAUUAGAUACCCUGGUAG
rnacentral:rRNA from 1 species